GGAAUUCUGGGAAUGCGCUUCCUUUCCAUUACCCAGAGUUCGGCUGCACACAGGAAACACUUUGAUAGUUGCAGCCAGAAUCGAAAGCGGAGAACAUCGCAUCCCUGUCGUCGAAUCAGACUGUUUCGGGUGAACGGGCACGUCUCUUUGGACGGCCUGCACGACUAACUUCAGGAAACAACGAGGGCUCAGAAAGAACUUAGGGGGCGAGAAAAUAUGUUGGUCGUUAAUCGAUGAAGGAGAAGACAGACAACUAGGCUCUACUUUGCAGAAUCAUGGACGGGGUAAUGCGUGGUGAUGUCUCAGGCCGCCUCGGCGCUUGUGUGUCCCCGAGCGACUCUGUGGCCCGGCGGAGGCUCUUGUCAUUUCCGUCCAUCGCCUUGGGUAGUGGUUCUAUUGUUUCGUACUGCACGAAGGUGGACGACAAAACGAAAAACUUGACUUAUCCCUCAGGGACUCCAUCCUCGUGGUCCAUGGAACUUCCCGUGAGCGUUGACCUCUUCAUGAGAGCUCUGUGUAGGUGCAUUGGUCUACACUAGUAGUCCAACUCGCAUUGUAAACUCCCCAGAAAACGCUAUAAAUAAUCCUGUC
rnacentral:lncRNA from 1 species